rnacentral:rRNA from 1 species
GUGAGGAAUUUUGCGCAAUGGGGGAAACCCUGACGCAGCAACGCCGCGUGAGUGAUGAAGGCCUUCGGGUCGUAAAGCUCUGUCAAGUGGGAAGAAUUUGGUAUGGACGAACAGGACAUAUCAUUGACGGUACCACGAGAGGAAGCACCGGCUAACUCCGUGCCAGCAGCCGCGGUAAUACGGAGGGUGCGAGCGUUAUUCGGAAUUAUUGGGCGUAAAGGGCGCGUAGGCGGUUUGUCAAGUCAGAUGUGAAAUCCUAUGGCUUAACCAUGGAAGUGCAUUUGAAACGGAUAGGCUUGAGUAUGGGAGAGGAAAGUGGAAUUCCUGGUGUAGCGGUGAAAUGCGUAGAUAUCAGGAGGAACACCGGUGGCGAAGGCGACUUUCUGGACCAAUACUGACGCUGAGGCGCGAAGGCGUGGGGAGCAAACAGGAUUAGAAACCCGUGUAGUCC